rnacentral:rRNA from 1 species
UACGUAGGGUGCAAGCGUUGUCCGGAAUUAUCGGGCGUAAAGAGCUCGUAGGCGGUUUGUCGCGUCUGCUGUGAAAACCCGAGGCUCAACCUCGGGCCUGCAGUGGGUACGGGCAGACUAGAGUGCGGUAGGGGAGAUUGGAAUUCCUGGUGUAGCGGUGAAAUGCGCAGAUAUCAGGAGGAACACCGAUGGCGAAGGCAGGUCUCUGGGCCAUAACUGACGCUGAGAAGCGAAAGCAUGGGGAGCGAACAGG